ACUAGCAGUAAGAGUUUGAUCCUGGCUCGAGGACGAACGCUGGCGGCACGCCUAACACAUGCAAGUCGAACGGCCCCUUCGGGGGCAGUGGCGGACGGGUGAGUAACGCGUGGGAACCUGCCCCUUGGUUCGGGACAACCCGGGGAAACCCGGGCUAAUACCGGAUGCGCUCCUUAGGGAGGAAAGAUUUAUCGCCGAGGGAUGGGCCCGCGUCGGAUUAGGUUGUUGGUGAGGUAACGGCUCACCAAGCCUGCGAUCCGUAGCUGGUCUGAGAGGAUGAUCAGCCACACUGGGACUGAUACACGGCCCAGACUCCUACGGGAGGCAGCAGUGGGGAAUCUUGGACAAUGGACGCAAGUCUGAUCCAGCGAUGCCGCGUGAGCGAUGAAGGCCUUAGGGUUGUAAAGCUCUUUCGCCCGCGACGAUGAUGACGGUAGCGGGAGAAGAAGCCCCGGCUAACUCCGUGCCAGCAGCCGCGGUAAUAC
rnacentral:rRNA from 1 species